rnacentral:rRNA from 1 species
GAUUUUUAAUUAAUUAUUAAUUGAUUUUAUUUAUUAAUUAUUUUUUUAAAAAUAAUUUUAUAGAAUAAUAGUUUUAGUAUAAUUUUAUUGAAAUAAUAAUUAUAAUAAUAGAUAAAUAGUAUUGAAUAAGAAAUUUUAAAAAUAUUAAAAAUUUAAAAUAUUAAAAGAAAAUUUAAAUUAUUGUACCUUGUGUAUCAGGGUUUAUUAAUUAAAAUUUAAUUAUAAUUAAAUUUUUCGAAAUUAAAAGAACUAUUAAUUUAUGAUUUUAAAUGUAAUAAAAUUUUUAUAAAUAGAUUAAUUGAAGUUAAAAGUUAUUCGUUUUUAAUAAUAUCUAAUUUUUUUAGAAAUAAAUUUAAUUUAGAUUAAUUAUUUAUAAUUUUAUAAAUUUUUAAUUUAUUUAUUAAUAAUUAAUUAAUAUUUUAAGGGAUAAGCUUUAAAGUAAAUUUUUAAAAGAUCUUUAUAUUAAAAUUUAUUUUUAGGAUUAUAAAUUUCUAUAAAUUAUAAAAAUGUAAUAAUUUAUUAAUUUAAUUUAAUAUUUAAUUUUUCUUUAAGUUUUUAUAAAAAUAAUUAUUUUAAUAUAAUAAAUAAUGAAAUAAUGAUAAAAUUAGUAUAAUUUAAUGUAUUUUGUAAAUUCAAAAAAAGUAUUAUUUAAUGAAUUCGGCAAAAAUAAAUAUUUGACUGUUUAACAAAAACAUUUCUUUAAGAAUUUUAUUUAAAGUAUAACCUGCCCAUUGAAUUAUUUUAAAAGGCUGCAGUAUUUUGACUGUACAAAGGUAGCAUAAUCAAUAGUUUUUUAAUUGAAAACUUGUAUGAAUGGUUGAACAAAAUAUAAACUGUUUCAAUUAAUUUAAUUAGAAUUUAAUUUUUUAGUAAAAAAGCUAAAAUAUGUUAAAAAGACGAGAAGACCCUAUAGAUUUUAAAUAUAAUAAAUAUUAUUUUUGUAAAGAUUAAUUUAAUUUUUAUAUUUAUUUUAUUUUUAUUGGGGUGAUAGUAAAAUUUAUUAAACUUAUAUUUAAAAUUACCAAUAUAAAUGAAUUUUUGAUCCAUUUUUAUGAUUAAAAGAUUAAAUUACCUUAGGGAUAACAGCGUAAUUUUUAUAUAAAGUUCAUAUUAAUAUAAUAUUUUGCGACCUCGAUGUUGAAUUAAGAAUAAUAUUUGGGGCAGUUUUUAAAUAAUUAAGUCUGUUCGACUUUUAAAUUCUUACAUGAUUUGAGUUCAAACCGGUGUGAGCCAGGUUGGUUUCUAUCUUUUAAAUUUAUUAAUAUUUUAGUACGAAAGGACCAAAUAUUAAAAAUAUUUUUUUUAUUAUAUGAAUAUUAUUAAUUUUUAUUAUUAUUAUUUUGGCAGAUUAGUGCAUUAAAUUUAGAAUUUAAU